UUAAUAAUAAUAGUAUUAGGUGCUGCCAUUAAUUGAAAAAUGGAGUUAAAAGGGAAAGUGGAAAAGCCACUGCAGCCCACCGCUACUGUGAGGAGGAUGAAACCUUAUUAGGUCACUGGAUAAUUUUUAUCUGGGAAGACAAGGGAGUAAAAUGAAUCUGAGCCAGGAAACCUGCCUAGUAUUUGUUGAUUCU
rnacentral:ncRNA from 2 species